rnacentral:rRNA from 1 species
CCUACGGGAGGCAGCAGUGAGGAAUAUUGGUCAAUGGCCGGAAGGCUGAACCAGCCAUGCCGCGUGAAGGUCAGUGCCCUAUGGGCGUUAAACUUCUUUUGUGCGGGAGCAAUAAUGGUCACGUGUGGCCAGACGAGAGUACCGUACGAAUAAGCAUCAGCUAACUCCGUGCCAGCAGCCGCGGUAAUACGGGGGAUGCAAGCGUUAUCCGGAUUUAUUGGGUUUAAAGGGUGCGUAGGCUGUGAGGUAAGUCAGCGGUGAAAUGCCCCCGCUCAACGGGGUGAAGUGCCAUUGAUACUGCCUGGCUGGAAUGCGGAUGCGGUGGGAGGAAUGUGUGGUGUAGCGGUGAAAUGCAUAGAUAUCACACAGAACACCGAUUGCGAAGGCAUCUCACGAAUCCGCGAUUGACGCUGAUGCACGAAAGCGUGGGUAUCAAACAGGAUUAGAUACCCCUGUAGUC